rnacentral:sRNA from 1 species
AGAUUGUUGGUUAAGAAGAAAGCCGGGAAAGUGAAGGAGAGGGGGAAGAAAGGAAGUGAAAAGACUUUGGCUGUUGGAAUCUCAGAUCUGGAAUAGGCUGUAUAGGCUAUUUAUAAUCUCUAAUUGCCGAGGAACCUGAAGUUCAGAGUUAACCAGUGACUGACUCAGGACAUGCAAAAUGGCAAGACCCGAGGUAGAAGAGCUCACCUUUCCUGACUCUCAGUUUCCUGUUCCCUGAAAAUGUAAGCUAAGCUGGCAGCCCUGGUGAGUCCGGAGGAAGAAGGAGGCGUAGCCCUCCGCGCUCAGGAGAUCCAGGGCCCAGGAGAGAGAAAAAGUGGGACAAGAACGAAGGGAAAAGUGGAGAAGAGAAACCAAAAUAGGGUGUGUCCCAAGUAAAUAACUGUACGUCGAGCCCGCCAAGCACAUUCUCUCAUAGGGACCCUUGCGCCUGCUGUUCGCGUUUCCUGGAAUGCACACUCAGGUGUCUGCACCAGCUCAAGUCUCUGCUCAAAAGUGACCUCUUCGGAUAAAACUUCUCUGACCAUCCUAUCCAAGAUUCCUUAUAUUACAUGGC